UCCAGCCUGGUGACGCUGGCACAGGAAGUGUCCUUGAACACGAGGUUAGGGAGUCUCGUGGGCACCCAAAGCAGCAGCCAGCAGUCUGUGGACUAGUGAGCCACCCAUGAGCGUGUGGAAAACAAGAACCUUGUUUUCUCCCGCGCCUACGGGGCUCAAAAUAGAACUCUGCCCUUUGUCCUCGAGGAGCUGAGGCAACUGCCCCUUGUGGGCGUCAGUGACCGCAGGCCCUUUGUUCCUCUCUCCCACAGCUGUCCCCCUCCUUCCUCUGACCUUUGACCUUCGGCCCGUAUCCCUUGCAAACACGGGCUGUCUGGUGUCAUGCAGGGGACCCAACAGCUGGCCAGGGGCAAUUCCAUGACACAGCCACAGACAUAGAUGUGGACACAGCAAGCUGCCCACUGCACUGUACUACCCAGCUGUCCUCAGCACAGCCCACCCUGGCCUGGGCCGUCACAGUGUGUGGCAUUUCCUUGGCAGGACCUUCGGUGUGAGAUGCAGGCCUCCAGGGUAGUUUACUUGGCUCACGUUUGUAGAGGUGUCAGUCCAUAGUUAGCAGGCUCCAAGACAAGGUGGCUUGGCAGAGGGCUCACAUCAAGGUUCCUAGGAAUCAGAGGGUGUUGAGAAAAGGCUGGGAAGGGGGAGAGAACCUUUGCAGGGCACACACAUAGGGACCUGCCCCUUCCGGCCAGCCCUCUACUCCAACAGCAAGUCAGCUGUGAGACUUCCACACGCCUCGCCGGUGCGGCCUUGUGGACACCUCGCUAUAAACCAAAGCAGCUAGGCACCAUGUAAACACUAUUGGUGCUUUCUCUUUUCUUUCCCAUAAUGAGACAGUGCUGUUCCUGUCUGUCUUGCAUGAGGAGACAGAGGCUUGGAGGGCUCAAAGAACCAGCCAAGUUGAAGGCAACUCAGGAAACUGUUGUUGAAAUACAAGGUGAUUGAAACAUAGGGAUGUUUAAAUUUCAAAAAUUUAUUACAGGAGAAGAUAGGCUGCCUCCAACUCCCCUCCAAUACACUUGUCCUCCUGUUCGUGCCACUGUCUGAAGCAGUUCCAGAAGUCCAUGAAACAUGAUGGUCUUUACGAGCUGGAAAGACCAGGCAAGAAAGGUAAAUAUUUGAAUGGGUUCAGGACCUGAGGCUGCUGGAAAGCGGUCACUUCAGUGCCCCUCGGCUGCCCCUCUGGGAGGCAGGACGGCAUCCUCUUCAGUGACUUUCCUGUCUACCUGCUGGCUGCUGGUGGCGCUCAGGCCAGGGUGUCCAUUACCUGGGCUCACUGGAAGCUGCAGACAGGGGACCGAGCUUUGGCCCACACGUGGUGGCUGCUGGGAGCCUCAGACCACAGGAAAGUGACUCUGUGGACUCACCAGACCAUGGCAGGGUGACUCAGCUGCCCACUGACACAUGCGGGCCUUCCUUUUUUCCCCUCUGGAACAAUAACAAAUCCCAGCUCUGUGAUUCGGCUGUCAUAGCAACCAGAAAACAUUUUCCAAGGGGAGUCUGCAGGACAGGUGGGCUGAGCAGGUCUGGCUGGGAACAGCCCUUUCCUGUCCCGUCAGCCUGAAUCCUGUGAGUCUUGUCUCUGUGGAACACGCUGCCACCAGAACCGACUGCCUUCUAGCCCAGGAAGUCUGGGUAGUUACAAGUCUGCACCGGUGAUACCCAGCCCACACCUCCACUGUGGAAAAACCUGAGUCAUUGAGCGGCCCAUUGUGUGUCCACCUCGGGCCUCGAUGGGUCCUGUCCUGUACAAGGUGGGGAAUAAAGAAGAAGUGGCCCCUGGUUUCCAUGCUCAGAGCUCCAAGGGGCUGAGAGGGGCUAUGGAUGUGGGCUGUGGGUGGGGAUGGGCCUCAAUGUUCAGCAGAGCGGCUGGACAUCCAUGUGUCCUCUCCCCGAAGAUUAAACAGGUGCACUUCAGACCCAGCCCUCCCCCAACAUGCUCCAAAUACCUCCUCUUCCCUGCUGGGCCUGUUCCUUUAGGAUGAGACCCCUCCUCACCUUGACUGAACCCUCUGCCCUCAUCGGAACCCAGCCUUGGGGCACUCCCCUAAUUAUUUCUGACACUUACAGUGUAAAGGAGGAGAGGUUUAUUUUGGCUGACGUUUGUAGAAGUGUGGGUCCAUAGUUGACAGGCUCAAAGGCAGGGUGGCUUGGCAGAGAGCUCAUAUCAAGAUAUCCAGGACACAAGGGGUGUGGAGGAAGGACACCCCUGGAAGGGAGCUAGAACCUUUGCAGGGUGCACACACAGGGGCCCGCCUCUUCCAGCCGACCCCCAAAACUGUCUAGCCCCUUAAGGCAUCCUGAGCGGUUCCACAGAAGCUUAUCAUCUCUGGAGAGGAAAACAUGCAGAUUCUCACAACUCACAGAUGUGUAAUGAUAUAACUAAGGUUUCUGAGCACUAACUCUAUACUGGAUACUUGGUAAGUGAUUCAGUUGUGAUUUUUCAUUUAAUUUUUGUAAGCUGGGUGAGGGUCAGGUAGUUGUUUCCAAUGUACAGAUAAGAUAUUAACAACAACAAACUUCAGACAAAAUAAACUUAACAGAGCUGAUGUCAGUGAAGAAUAAAUCAGGAAUCACUGGGCACUGGGAAUCAGAAGAGGCCCAGGGCUGGGCUAUAGUCAAGCAAGUGCUCACCAUCACUGGUCAUUCAAGAGAUGCAAAUUUUUUUUUUUUUUUGGUCUUUCUCAGACAGGAUCUCUCUAUGUAGUUCAGGCUGGCCUUGAGUUCAUUUUGUAGCCUAGGCUGGUCUUGAACUCACAACGAUCUCCUCCUGCCUCAGCCUCCCAAGUGCUGGGAUUAUGUGCAUGAGCCACCUCGCCUGGCCGGAAAUGCAAAUUAAGACAACCCUGAGAUUUCAUCUCACCCCAGAAAGAAUGGCUGUCAUCAAGAAAUCAAUGAAUAACAAAUGCUGGCAGGGGUGUGGGAAUAAAAACCUUUCUCUACUAUUGGUAGGAGUGCAGUCUGGUGCAGUCACUGUGGAAAUCAGUGUGGAGAUUCCUCAAAAAACAAGGAUUAGAGGUCCCACUAGACCCAGUUUCUCCCUUUCUGGAUAUUCUCCCCAAAGAAUUAAAAACAUCAUACCACAGUGAUAUCUUUGCACCCAUGUUUACAGCAGCACAAUUUGUAAAAGCUAAAUCUUAGAAACAAUCCAAAUGUCCCAUCAACCAAGGAAUGGAUAAAAAGAUACGAUCUUUUCAUACAGUGGAGAACUACUCAGCUAUAAAAAAGUAUAAACUCAAGGCUUUUGUAGGUAAACAAAUGCAAUUUGAGACCAUAUAUAUAAGUGAAAUAAGCCAGACGUGCAUGGAUAAACAUCAGAUUGUCUCCCUAGUGUAAAAAUUUGAAAGAGUAAAUAAGAUCCAAAAUGUACAAUAGAUAUUGUGAAAGUGAAAGGGGAAGAAACUGCUCAAAAGAAAAAAAUAACUGGGAUAAGGGAAAUGAGAAAAGGAAAGGAAAAGAAAAGUCUAUAUAUCUAUAUAUGGCUAAGGUACUUACAUUACUAAUCUCUAUUAGUUCAUUGAAAAGAUUGGUCUGUGGUUCUAUUGUUUGAUCAGUUUUCCAUGUCUGUUUCUUGUAAUCUGAGCAACUACUUUGAAGAUAACAAUACGCAAUAUAUUAACCAUUGUUAGUCUCCUA